UUUUUUUGUAUUUUUCCUUAUUCAAUUCUCUGUUCUAGGGUUUGUUUCUCCUCUGAGCUUCCUUUCUUUGUUCAGCAUUUCCUGGUUAAACCCACCAAAGUGGAGGAUGCUCUCCAGGAUGAAAGUUGGGUUAAGGCCAUGCAUGAUGAACUACUUCAGUUUUAAAGGAAUGAUAUCUGGACCCUAGCACCUAGGCCAGAAAGAGAGCACAUCAUUGGCACAAAGUGGAUAUUCUGCAACAAAACUGAUGAGGAGGGAAAUGUAAUCCACAACAAGGCUCAUCUUGUGGCUCAAGGAUACUCUCAAGUGGAAGGAGUAGAUUUUGAUAAGACAUUUGCUCCUGUAGCUCGUAUCGAAUCCAUUAGGGUUAUCCUGGCCUUGGCUUGUCACUUGAAGUUCAAGUUUUACCAAAUGGAUGCGAAGACUGCACUCUUGAUUGGGUUCCAAAGGAUUCGUUGAUCCACACUUUUCGGAUCAUGUAUUGCACCUCAUGAAGGCCCUCUAUGGAUUAAAGCAAGCACCCAAAGCUUGGUAUGACUGGCUUACACAAUAUUUGGUCUCACAUGGUUUCACAAGAGGACAAGUUGAUCAAAUACUCUUUAUCAAAAGGGAAGAUGGCGAGUUGAUAGUUGCUCAAGUCUAUGUUGAUGAUAUCAUCUUCGGGUCUACGAAGGAUGAACUUGCUCAUAAUUUCUCCAAACUUAUGCAAGCCGAGUUCAAGAUAAGCAUGAUUGGAGAGUAUUCCAGAUCCGUUAGCAAAAGUCAGGUAUAUUUAUAUCUCAAUCUAAAUAUGCUAAAAAUCUUGUGAAAAAGUUUACUUUGGAAUUUGCUAGUUCUGCUAAAACCCCUAUGAUCCCAAAUGUUAAACUCACUAUUGAUUUCUUAGGAAAAAGUGUUGAUUAUUCUCUAUACAGAAGCAUGAUAGGUAGUCUUCUUUACCUUACUACUAGUAGAGCUAACAUUAGUUACAAUGUUGGAGUGUGUGCUAGAUAUCAGGCAAAUCCCAAAGAGUCUCAUAAGAUUGCUUUGAACAGAAUCAUAAAGUAUGUCAAAUCCAUUGCCGAUUUUGGUGUGUGGUAUAGCAAGGACACCAAUGAUGUCUUAGCUGGGUAUUUUGAUUCUAACUGGGUUAGGAAUGCUGAUGAUAAAAAGAGUACUUCGGGGGGUUGUUUUUAUAUGGGUAAUAAUCUUGUCUCUUGGAUGAGUAAGAAGCAGAAUUCCAUCUCAUUAUCCAUUGCUAAGACUGAAUACAUCACUGCCAGUAGGUGCUACACCCAACUUCUGUGGGUGCAAAAACUCCUCUUUGAUUAUGGUAUUCAUCAAGAACAUCUUACCAUCUAUUGUGACAAUACCAGUGCCAUAAACAUCUCUAAGAAUCAUGUUCAACAUUCUCGAACAAAACAUAUAGAGAUACAACACCACUUCAUUCAAAAGCUUGCCGAAGAUGGCACACUCACUCUUGAGUUCAUUCACACUGAUGAUCAAAAGGCUGAUUUGUUCACUAAGCCUCUUGAUAGCAAACAGUUUGAAUUCCUACACCAAAACAUUGGUGUAAUCUCCAUGGAGUGAUCUCUCCUCUUUCUCCUAUUUCCUCAUGCAUUUGCAUCUAGUUUUAUGCUUUGCAUUAUUUAACAUGUUUUUGUUUAUUUGUUUUCAGUUUUAGUUUUAUUUGUUUUUUCAUAAAAAUAAAUAUAUAAAAAAUUAAAAACUCAGAAAAAUACAAAAAUAGUGUGUGUUUUAUGUACAUUGAUACUUGUGUACCUUGCAUGGCCAUUGAAACAAAGUUUUCUAAACUUUGUAUCUUUUGUAGCUUAUAUGAGCAUCUCAAUGCACAACUAAGUAAGUGAGCUUUGUGGCUCUUGUUUGUGAUGAGUAUGAUUAAGUAAUCUCUUAUACUUAACAUUCAUAUCACUUUUUUUGAUAGGAAGGACUAAAAAAUUCUAAGAGAAAUGAAUAAAUAACCAUCUCACCACUAAAAGCUUGCCAAUCAUGAAUAACAUUUAUGUGCUUCAGCAUAGCAAAAUUGUGAUGUUUUUGGCUUAACAUAAUUGGGUAUUUCUUUUCUCUCUCUUAUAUGCCUAUGCAUGAUAUGUUCAAAAACAAAAAAUAUGCAACAAAAAAAAAAAAAUGUAAAAGGAAUUAAAAUGCUUUUAAAUAUGGUUGUAAGCAUGUUUCUAGGAGAUGUGGGAGUUAUAGGAUGUACCAUGAAGGUGAUAGUCUCCAUCAAGCAGUUAUGAUUGUGUGUGAGUAAAAUUUAUUUUCUCAUAUCUCAAAUCAUCAUAACAUGAGACACUUAUGCACUUUUGUUAUGUUUUCACACAAAACACGCAAAAUUUUUUGCUACUUUUGAUACAUGUGCAGGUACAAUGUGAUUUGGCCAUCAGAAGGAAUACAUGUGUUAAUGUAUACUCACUAAACUAUCUUAGCUUGUUUUUGAAAUAUAAAAUUGGUUAGACUUGUUUAGUGUGUGUGUGUUUUGGAUCAUGAAUGCUUUGCAUUUUCUUGUUAAGAGAUGUUUUUAAAAGCUUAACAUGUUGAUUGGAUCUAUUGUUGAGUAGCUUGCUUGCUUGCAUUCAUCUCUAUGUGUUUUUCCUCUCUUUGAAAAACUGCUUUUUAUCAAGCUCGAUAAAUUCUCGAUAGAUUCUCGACAGCUUUCUAUCUAUCGAGCCUCUUGUACUUCUUUUCUCGACAGAUCUUAUCGCAUAUUUGAUCCAUCGAGCUAUCUGAAAUUUGUCUCGAUAGCUGCUUGACAGAUUCUCGAUCCAUCGAGAAAGUUUCUGUUUGGCCGAUAAAUUCUCGAUAGAAUCUCGAUCCAUCGAGGUGAUUUUGCCAUCGAUAGAUUCUCGACAGCACCUCGACAGAUUCAUAUUUGCCGAGAUUUAGUGCUCAACAGAUGUCGACAGAUCCUCGAUCCAUCAUGCUGCAAUUUCUAUAUAUAUGUUGACAGCGAAACCAGACUUCAUUUUCACUUUUCUCUCUCAACUGAAAAAGUUUUUCUCUUGACCCAAACACUCUUUUCUCACUCUAAACCUCCUAUUCACGUGAUUUUAUUCCUAAUGUUGUCUCAAAUCACUUGGUAUGUUUCUUUAUUCUCUUUUUUCUCAUGCAUUUAGACCUAGGUUUUGGGUUCUCUUGAAAUUUUGGGGGUUUUUGCAAACUUUUGAGAUUUUGGUGAAAUUUUGGGGUUAGGUGUUUCUUAUUUAAUGCUAUAUGAUCAUGCAUUGCAUUCCAUUUGCAUUUUCACAAUGUUUCAUGCAUUAUAGGUGUGUUGAUUGAAUUGUGUGCUGUUAGGUUUGGAUUGGGUUGAAUCCAUGAUGUAUUUAUUUUUUGCAUGUCACUUGUUCAUAUUCUUUUUCAUGCAUAUGUACCCUUUCUUUUCUCUACAUCUGUUUUGGGUUGUGAUACCGUGUUUCUGUUUUUCUCCCUCUUGCUCUCUCUCGGAUAGGCUACGCAUGGAACCCAAGUGCAAAUCUACUCCGUCUCGAAACCAUCUACAUUCUGGGACAUCUUCUGAUCCUACUCCAACUCACAUUCGGUUCCGUGAUGAGAAGGCCCAUAAGGAUUUCUCGGAGAACUUUUCUAAACAUGGCAUUCAUCUUGAGCGCCACGUGAUUCUAUCGAACUUUUCCGAUACUGCUCUAACCAGUUUCAUUCACACUCAGGGAUGGGAAUCUCUCUGUGAGAUACCCGUAAGUUGUCCUAUUGUGGUCCUACAAGAGUUAUAGUCCAAUAUGCAUGGUUUCGAUACCUCUGUGCCUCGAUUUGUUACGUAUGUCAGAGGUACACAUAUUGUAGUCACUCCGGAUCUUGUAUCCGAGAUACUAGACAUUCCACGGAUAGCGCAUCCUGACUACCCCGCUUAUCAGCGUCUGAGGACUAUGUCCAAAGACGAGCUCAUUUCUCACUUUUGUGAGAAACCUUCUACAUGGGGUGGUCAUCAAAACACUCUAUGCUCGAAUUUUGCAAAAGGUCCGAGAUUUCUUAACAUGGUGAUGGCAUUCGUUCUCCAUCCAUUGUCUCAUAUAACUUCAUUACAAAGCCUCAUGCUCGAUUUUUGCUAUCCAUUCUUAAGGACCUCUCUAUAGAUUUUCCUUCUCACUUUAUCCUUUCUCUCAUCGAUGUCUAUAGAGAUACGGUGACCUGUGAUAAGUUCAUCUUUCCUUUGGCUAUCACGAGGAUUCUUCACCAUCUUUUGAUCCCUCUACCUAAUUCUCCUUUCUUUCCCACCAUGGGUGCCAUUAGCGCGACGUCUGUUAGACGGAGUGAGGCCCAGCUUCGACCGAAGCGGCCACAAAUAGAGACAACUGUUCCUCCAGCCCCUUUUGCUCCAUCCACCUCCGCUCCUUCUUCUUCAGCGAGUGGUGUGAAUCUUAAGGCCAUCAUGAUGAUGUUUAAGCGCAUGGAUGCUCACCUUGACACUCCCAGUGAUGAUUUGUGUCAAGUGAACACUCAUUGUUGUCAUAUUGCAUGAAGAUAGGCUCAAACGGGUGGCUUCGUCGCUUCACCUUCUCCUUUGCCCGAGUUUUUGGCGGAUGAGGAUGCUGAUGAUGGUAUUGGUGAUGAUGAUAAGGAUGAGGAUGCUAGCUCUUCUAGUAAUGAUGAGAUGACGACCUCUCGGUGACUUACCCUUUGUCAUUCCUGACAAAAAAGGUGAAUAGUUUUGAUUGGGAUGAUGAGAGUAGUGUAUCUAGGGGCAAAGUUAGGAUAGGACUUUUUUGUUAAGGAGAGUGUUCUUUUUUUUUUUUUUUUAGGGAUGUAGUGAGGAUUAUAUGUACUUUUUUUUUCUUUAUCUUAGUUACAUUAUCCUCCUAUACACCGGUCUUGUGACCAUUUUAUUGAUGACAUACAUUGUACUUAUUUCUUUUCUCUCUUUAUACACAUGUUUCUUUAUGUAUGCAAUUCUUUAUUUCUAUUUCACACUAAGAUGUCUUAAUGAGUUUUGUUUAAAGUGUUUCAAAAAGACAGGUUGUCAAAAUUUAUCAUGCCAUAAACUCUCUUCUUGCAAAGUUUUCAAGAGUUUGUGAUAGGAUUAGAUUUUAUUGUAUUCAACAAGUGUUUAUGAGUUUAAUGAUUUAAGACUUCCCUCAUACUUCAUUUGUUUGUUGUGGUUUUGUCACAGACUGCCAAAGGGGGAGAUUGUUAGGACAUAUUUGGAACUUGUUAGAACAUAUGUUAUGUAAAUUGGCUAAUCCUUUGACAAAACGCACUUUACUUGUAAUUGUCUAGAUCUAGGAUGGGUUUAGUACUUCAAGGAACAUGAGUUCAAGUCUAGUAUUGAAGCCAUGCAAAACUGUCCAAGAAACAAGUGAAGAAGUGCUAUUCAUUAAAUCUCGACAGAUAACUCAACAGAUAAUAUCUAUCGAGGUUUAAUCACGAAACUCGAUAGCAGCUUGACAGAAACAGUAUCUAUCAAGAAUUACGAAAAUCAAAUUUCCAAAUCAAUUUUCACGCAUAUCCAUGUAUAUUUGUGUAGGGUUUCUUUUCUCAUAACCCUAAGCAUAUAUAAGGAUUAUUUUAAGGGCCGUCUCACUUGAUGCAAAGGUUGUUGCAAUUGUUGUUACACACAUAUUGUGACUCGAGACAAUUUGCCCUAGUUCAUCAUAUUCUUUGAAGAAGCUACUGCAUCUUUGCGCUAAGGGUUUCGUAACUAAGGAGCUUCUUGAUCUUCAUCGGUUGCAUGAGCUAAAGAACUUUGCAGCCAACAUCUUCCUCAAGUUGGUGUGUUAGUCAUGUACUUUGAUCUGUGUAUCGAUUGGUUAGUCACGUACUUGGAUCUGUGUAUCGAUUGGUUAGUCACGUACUUGGAUCUGUGCAUUGAAAGGAGAGAUUGUCAUUA